GGGGAAUAUUGGGCAAUGGGCGAAAGCCUGACCCAGCCACGCCGCGUGAGUGAUGAAGGCCUUCGGGUCGUAAAGCUCUGUGGGGAGGGACGAAUAAGUCGGUAGUUAAUAACUGCCGGCCCUGACGGUACCUCCUUAGCAAGCACCGGCUAACCAUGUGCCAGCAGCCGCGGUAAUACAUGGGGUGCAAACGUUGCUCGGAAUUAUUGGGCGUAAAGCGCACGUAGGUGGUCUGUUAUGUCAGAUGUGAAAGCCCUCGGCUUAACUGAGGAAGUGCACCUGAAACUGGCAGGCUUGAGUACGAAAGAGGGUCGCGGAAUUCCCGGUGUAGAGGUGAAAUUCGUAGAUAUCGGGAGGAACACCGGUGGCGAAGGCGGCGACCUGGUUCGAUACUGACACUGAGGUGCGAAAGCGUGGGGAGCAAAC
rnacentral:rRNA from 1 species